CGCGUAGGCGGUCGGGUAAGUCGGGUGUGAAAUUCCGGGCUCAACCCCGUGGACUGCAUCCGAUACUGCUCGACUAGAGAGAGGUAGGGGCGAGUGGAAUUCCCGGUGUAGCGGUGGAAUGCGUAGAUAUCGGGAAGAACACCGGUGGCGAAGGCGGCUCGCUGGGCCUCGUCUGACGCUGAAGCGCGAAAGCGUGGGAGCAAACA
rnacentral:rRNA from 1 species